GAUGAACGCUGGCGGCGUGCCUAAUACAUGCAAGUCGAACGCACAGACGAUGAGCUUGCUCCUCUCACGUUAGCGUCGGACUUGCGAGUAACACAUGCAUUACUUACCUAUCUGCCUGGGAUCACGUCGUGAAUCCUGAACUCAUACCUGAUAACAUGAUGAACCUCAUUGUUCAACAGUGAUAGAUGGUCUUGCUCUCUCUCAUAGAUGCAUCGGCGCCCUAUUAUCUAGUAGGUAAGGUAUCGGCUAACCAAGCCAACGAUCAGUAGCCGACCUGAGCGGGUGAUCGGCCAACCGGGAAUUGAGCCACGGUCCAGACUCCUAGGGGAGGCAGCAGUAGGGAAUGUUCGGAAAUGGGGGAAAGCUUAACGGAGCAACGCGGCGUGGGUGAAGAAGGUCUUCGGAUCGUAAAACUCUUUUAAUGGGAACGAACAACUGUAGACGUAACUGUGCACGUUUUGACGGUACCUAAUCAGAAAGCGACGGCUAACUACGUG
rnacentral:rRNA from 1 species